rnacentral:tRNA from 1 species
AAGGAUUUAAGUUAAAGAAACUAUUAACCUUCAAAGUUAAAAAUAGGCAGUUCCCUAAGCCUUA